AUUGAACGCUGGCGGCCGGCCUAACACAUGCAAGUCGAGCGAGCGGCGGACGGGUGAGUAAUGUCUGGGAAACUGCCUGAUGGAGGGGGAUAACUCCUGGAAACGGUAGCUAAUACCGCAUACCAUCAGAUGUGCCCAGCUGGGAUUAGCUAGUAGGUGGGGUAACGGCUCCCCUAGGCGACGAUCCCUGGCUGGUCUGAGAGGAUGACCAGCCACACUGGAACUGAGACACGGUCCAGACUCCUACGGGAGGCAGCAGGGGGGAAGAUGGCACAAUGGGCGAAAGCCUGAUGCAGCCAUGCAGCGUGGGGGAAGAAGGCCUUAGGGUUGUAAAGCACUUUCAGCGGGGAGGCGUUACCCGGAGAAGAAGCACCGGCUAACUCCGUGCCAGCAGCCGCGGUAAUAC
rnacentral:rRNA from 1 species